CGCGUGUCGGGAUGUGCCAUCCCCCCGAAGCAGGUGCCAGCACCGCUCGCAGCGCAGGGCUGCAGCUCCCAUGGAAAGAAUUGUUGCCAGGGUUUCAGCGGUGACUCGCGGUCUCCGAGACUGGAUCCCUUGUUAGCAGGGGGCUAUCUGGGGAACACCCGCUCCGUGUUGCCUAGGCGCCUCGACCAGAGGGACCUGCACCUCCUCCCGCUGCUCCCAUUUGUUUUCCGAAGCACAGUCAGGCUGUUUCCUUUCAGGCUUUAGUUGUUACCUUGGAGGAAUGUUCUCCUGUUGUGAGAUCUCUGCUGGAUGUGGACAUGGCAGCGCAUCUUCAGAGCCGUCCACUCAUCAAGAAGAGAUGUCCUCUCUCAAAGUGGAGAUUGCCAUGGCCAAAAAAGUCAUGGAACAUACAGGUCUCCUCUCAUCCCAUCUUCCCUGUGGAUGAGGAGAGAAAUGUGUAAGAAGAGGAGGAACCUGUCCUCAAGGCAUGGUGAAAACUGUGACCACUUGGCUGCCGAAUCAUUGCAAGAGAGGAUUUGUCAUAAAAUAUAUUCUGCCACCUCGAUCUUCUCGUUUCUGCUCUCAAGUGCCAGCACACGCUCUCCUCCAGCAGCUCCUGAUGCCUUCCCAGCCCCGGUGCUGCACUGCCCAGCCCUGGGGGACCUGGAGAGCCUUU
ensembl:lncRNA